rnacentral:rRNA from 1 species
AUGACGAGUCUGGCCAACAACCAAUCUAAUCACAUGGUCUGGGGCUAUAUACUACCUGUUGUUGACUCGUGUUCUUCCAUCGCAACAGAGAAAAAGCAUCUUGCUGCUGCUUUCAGUUUACAUACACGACAUGCCACCGAUGCCGGCCGUGACCAUGCCGACCGUGUGCCGACCGUGCACGUGGUCACCAUGCCCAGCGUGCCGCAGGUGACAUUGCCGCCUAUGGGUGCCGUUCCUUCCGUGCCCAAGGUGAUGAUGCCACCGAUGCCCGCCAUCGUCGUGCCCAACGUGACCAUGGCGCCGAUGCCCACAAUCGCCGUACCCAAGGUGAUGAUGCCACCGAUGCCCGCCAUUGUUGUUCCCAAGGUGACGAUGCCGCAGAUACCUGCUAUCCCGAGCAUCAACGUACCUACGCCGUUCUUGGCGCCGCCCCCCUCUGCAUAG